rnacentral:rRNA from 1 species
GAUGAACGCUAGCUACAGGCUUAACACAUGCAAGUCGCAGGACUGGAGCACGGGUGAGUAACGCGUAUCCAACCUUCCCAUAACUACGGGAUAACCCGUUGAAAGACGGCCUAAUACCGAAUGGUUAUGGAUGGGGAGGCGUUUGAUUAGCUUGGUGGCGGGGUAACGGCCCACCAAGGCGACGAUCAGUAGGGGUUCUGAGAGGAAGGUCCCCCACAUUGGAACUGAGCCCCGGUCCAAACUCGUACGGGAGGAGGGAGGAAGAAAUAUUGUUCCAUGGGCGCGAGCCUGAACCAGCCAAGUAGCGUGCAGGAUGACGGCCUUUGGGUUGUAACCUGCUUUUAUGUGAGGAUAGGUACCACAUGAAUAAGGACCGGCUAAUUCCGUGCCAGCAGCCGCGGUAAUUC